rnacentral:rRNA from 1 species
AACGCUAGCUACAGGCUUAACACAUGCAAGUCGAGGGGAAACGAUAGAGAAAGCUUGCUUUUUCUAGGCGUCGACCGGCGCACGGGUGAGUAACGCGUAUCCAACCUGCCCAUCACUUGGGGAUAACCUUGCGAAAGUAAGACUAAUACCCAAUGAUAUCUCUAGAAGACAUCUGAAGGAGAUUAAAGAUUUAUCGGUGAUGGAUGGGGAUGCGUCUGAUUAGCUUGUUGGCGGGGUAACGGCCCACCAAGGCGACGAUCAGUAGGGGUUCUGAGAGGAAGGUCCCCCACAUUGGAACUGAGACACGGUCCAAACUCCUACGGGAGGCAGCAGUGAGGAAUAUUGGUCAAUGGGCGAGAGCCUGAACCAGCCAAGUAGCGUGCAGGAUGACGGCCCUAUGGGUUGUAAACUGCUUUUAUAAGGGAAUAAAGUGGGAGUCGUGACUCCUUUUGCAUGUACCUUAUGAAUAAGGACCGGCUAAUUCCGUGCCAGCAGCCGCGGUAAUACGGAAGGUCCGGGCGUUAUCCGGAUUUAUUGGGUUUAAAGGGAGCGUAGGCCGGAGAUUAAGCGUGUUGUGAAAUGUAGACGCUCAACGUCUGCACUGCAGCGCGAGCUGGUUUCCUUGAGUACGCACAAAGUGGGCGGAAUUCGUGGUGUAGCGGUGAAAUGCUUAGAUAUCACGAAGAACUCCGAUUG